rnacentral:rRNA from 1 species
GUGCCAGCCGCCGCGGUAAUACCGGCAGCCCGCGUGAUGGCCGAUCUUAUUGGGCCUAAAGCGUUCGUAGCCUGCUGUUCAAGUCUAUCGGGAAAUCGACGUGCCUAACGCGUCGGCGUCCGGUGGAUACUGUUCAGCUUGGGACCGAGAGACUCAGCGGGUACGUCUAGGGUAGGAGUGAAAUCCUGUAAUCCUAGACGGACCACCGAUGGCGAAAGCACGCUGAGAGAUCGGAUCCGACGGUGAGGAACGAAAGCUGGGGUCUCGAACCGGAUUAGAAACCCCUGUAGUCC